AAGACUGUACUUUCAGGGAUCGGUUCUAUAGUUCAUUGCUACAGAGGUUCUAUAGUUCAUUGCUACAUUUCUCUGAUCAUGUGGAGCACCAGAACCAUGAGGAGGAGGCACAGCGUUCUCUCCUGAGCAUGAAGCUUGGUGUUGCAUGGUGUUGCUUCCCUGCAGUGGCCAUUUGCCAUGGAUGAUUGUUCUUGCUUUCCCUGGGGGGAGCAAGAGGGAGAGGACACAGUCUGAAUGGG
rnacentral:snoRNA from 1 species